UUAAGCGACUAAGCGUACACGGUGGAUGCCCUGGCAGUCAGAGGCGAUGAAGGACGUGCUAAUCUGCGAUAAGCGUCGGUGAGGUGAUAUGAACCGUUAUAACCGGCGAUUUCCGAAUGGGGAAACCCAGUGUGUUUCGACACACUAUCAUUAACUGAAUCCAUAGGUUAAUGAGGCGAACCGGGGGAACUGAAACAUCUAAGUACCCCGAGGAAAAGAAAUCAACCGAGAUUCCCCCAGUAGCGGCGAGCGAACGGGGAGGAGCCCAGAGCCUGAAUCAGUGUGUGUGUUAGUGGAAGCGUCUGGAAAGGCGCGCGAUACAGGGUGACAGCCCCGUACACAAAAAUGCACAUAUUGUGAGCUCGAUGAGUAGGGCGGGACACGUGGUAUCCUGUCUGAAUAUGGGGGGACCAUCCUCCAAGGCUAAAUACUCCUGACUGACCGAUAGUGAACCAGUACCGUGAGGGAAAGGCGAAAAGAACCCCGGCGAGGGGAGUGAAAAAGAACCUGAAACCGUGUACGUACAAGCAGUGGGAGCCUCUUAAUGGGGUGACUGCGUACCUUUUGUAUAAUGGGUCAGCGACUUAUAUUCUGUAGCAAGGUUAACCGAAUAGGGGAGCCGAAGGGAAACCGAGUCUUAACUGGGCGCUAAGUUGCAGGGUAUAGACCCGAAACCCGGUGAUCUAGCCAUGGGCAGGUUGAAGGUUGGGUAACACUAACUGGAGGACCGAACCGACUAAUGUUGAAAAAUUAGCGGAUGACUUGUGGCUGGGGGUGAAAGGCCAAUCAAACCGGGAGAUAGCUGGUUCUCCCCGAAAGCUAUUUAGGUAGCGCCUCGUGAAUUCAUCUCCGGGGGUAGAGCACUGUUUCGGCAAGGGGGUCAUCCCGACUUACCAACCCGAUGCAAACUGCGAAUACCGGAGAAUGUUAUCACGGGAGACACACGGCGGGUGCUAACGUCCGUCGUGAAGAGGGAAACAACCCAGACCGCCAGCUAAGGUCCCAAAGUCAUGGUUAAGUGGGAAACGAUGUGGGAAGGCCCAGACAGCCAGGAUGUUGGCUUAGAAGCAGCCAUCAUUUAAAGAAAGCGUAAUAGCUCACUGGUCGAGUCGGCCUGCGCGGAAGAUGUAACGGGGCUAAACCAUGCACCGAAGCUGCGGCAGCGACACUAUGUGUUGUUGGGUAGGGGAGCGUUCUGUAAGCCUGUGAAGGUGGCCUGUGAGGGUUGCUGGAGGUAUCAGAAGUGCGAAUGCUGACAUAAGUAACGAUAAAGCGGGUGAAAAGCCCGCUCGCCGGAAGACCAAGGGUUCCUGUCCAACGUUAAUCGGGGCAGGGUGAGUCGACCCCUAAGGCGAGGCCGAAAGGCGUAGUCGAUGGGAAACAGGUUAAUAUUCCUGUACUUGGUGUUACUGCGAAGGGGGGACGGAGAAGGCUAUGUUGGCCGGGCGACGGUUGUCCCGGUUUAAGCGUGUAGGCUGGUUUUCCAGGCAAAUCCGGAAAACCAAGGCUGAGGCGUGAUGACGAGGCACUACGGUGCUGAAGCGACAAAUGCCCUGCUUCCAGGAAAAGCCUCUAAGCAUCAGGUAACAUCAAAUCGUACCCCAAACCGACACAGGUGGUCAGGUAGAGAAUACCAAGGCGCUUGAGAGAACUCGGGUGAAGGAACUAGGCAAAAUGGUGCCGUAACUUCGGGAGAAGGCACGCUGAUAUGUAGGUGAAGCGACUUGCUCGUGGAGCUGAAAUCAGUCGAAGAUACCAGCUGGCUGCAACUGUUUAUUAAAAACACAGCACUGUGCAAACACGAAAGUGGACGUAUACGGUGUGACGCCUGCCCGGUGCCGGAAGGUUAAUUGAUGGGGUUAGCGGUAACGCGAAGCUCUUGAUCGAAGCCCCGGUAAACGGCGGCCGUAACUAUAACGGUCCUAAGGUAGCGAAAUUCCUUGUCGGGUAAGUUCCGACCUGCACGAAUGGCGUAAUGAUGGCCAGGCUGUCUCCACCCGAGACUCAGUGAAAUUGAACUCGCUGUGAAGAUGCAGUGUACCCGCGGCAAGACGGAAAGACCCCGUGAACCUUUACUAUAGCUUGACACUGAACAUUGAGCCUUGAUGUGUAGGAUAGGUGGGAGGCUUUGAAGUGUGGACGCCAGUCUGCAUGGAGCCGACCUUGAAAUACCACCCUUUAAUGUUUGAUGUUCUAACGUGGGCCCGUAAUCCGGGUUGCGGACAGUGUCUGGUGGGUAGUUUGACUGGGGCGGUCUCCUCCUAAAGAGUAACGGAGGAGCACGAAGGUUGGCUAAUCCUGGUCGGACAUCAGGAGGUUAGUGCAAUGGCAUAAGCCAGCUUGACUGCGAGCGUGACGGCGCGAGCAGGUGCGAAAGCAGGUCAUAGUGAUCCGGUGGUUCUGAAUGGAAGGGCCAUCGCUCAACGGAUAAAAGGUACUCCGGGGAUAACAGGCUGAUACCGCCCAAGAGUUCAUAUCGACGGCGGUGUUUGGCACCUCGAUGUCGGCUCAUCACAUCCUGGGGCUGAAGUAGGUCCCAAGGGUAUGGCUGUUCGCCAUUUAAAGUGGUACGCGAGCUGGGUUUAGAACGUCGUGAGACAGUUCGGUCCCUAUCUGCCGUGGGCGCUGGAGAACUGAGGGGGGCUGCUCCUAGUACGAGAGGACCGGAGUGGACGCAUCACUGGUGUUCGGGUUGUCAUGCCAAUGGCACUGCCCGGUAGCUAAAUGCGGAAGAGAUAAGUGCUGAAAGCAUCUAAGCACGAAACUUGCCCCGAGAUGAGUUCUCCCUGAGACUUAGAGUCUCCUGAAGGAACGUUGAAGACGACGACGUUGAUAGGCCGGGUGUGUAAGCGCAGCGAUGCGUUGAGCUAACCGGUACUAAUGAACCGUGAGGCUUAACCUU
rnacentral:rRNA from 1 species